AGCGCUCGUUAAGCGAGGCACCACUGUACUUUCAAUCACUAUCUCUCUGGUAAUAUUAGUAACUUCAUUCUUGCUUGUUCAAUAUCUUUUAUCUCAAUUCCCUCUCCUAACACUCUCAGCUCAAAUCCCUAACCUUAUCCUUCUCUCUUCUAAACCCUAACUGCCAUUCCACAUUCCCCAACUGUCUCUCUAACUCUUCAACAGUCUAAUUCCUGAAGUCCAGCAACAACCUCUCUUGAAGCCUGGGAGAUGUGUGUGUGUGGGGGGGCGAACUAACAUUCAAGGUGGGUUAGUGAUAAAAAUGAAAAAAUAUUAAAACACAUGGCAAUAUUGAGAAAAUAAGCCAAUAAGAAUGUGUCUGUGUUUGUGUGUGAUUGAGUGAAUGAGUGAGACAAUUUUCAUUAUGCAACUUCCUAUCUGUUAUCAAAAGCACUGCUUCUAAUUGUCAGGCUUCUGCUUUUAAAUCAGGGAAGCCAUUAGCAACCCAGCCUUUAUAACUGACACUGGGUUCUGUGAGACCUACCUCAGGGGCCAAACUACAUCUCUCCCUUAAUGUGUGAUCUGCCCCAUUCUUGUAUUGAUUCAAAAACUUGUAGUUGAUGUUCUGGAUUCCAGCGUUUGAUGUGUUUACAUAGCUGUCAUGGCAACAAGAUUCCAAGCUUACUCAGUACCACUCACUCACCUAUAGGACUUGGCUGGUGAUGGAAGCACCUUUGGGGCUCUACUUUUAGUGUUCCUUGGUUGUAUCCCCAUUUGCUGUAAGCAAAUUCAUUGGCAUUUCCUGCCAUUCUGAAGAAUGUUCACAAUAGGCAUUGAAUGCCCAGUGGUUCAAGGAACCGACUCUCUCCAGGCUCUGAAUCACUGGCCAUUUGCAGAGCGCCUGGUGAAGGCCCAGCAAAUUCUAAGAAAUCUUUGAUUACAAGCUCCUGCCGUUCGGCAAGCCUGUGGAAUCUGAGAGACCACAGGAAGAAGCUGAGAGGUUUUCCAGCCUAACCGUAUCGGCCGUCUCACCACAAGAACUUCCUAUUUUGGCUCAGUCCCUUCAGUCAACUUGAGGCUAUGCCUCUAGAUCAGCAGGGCUGCGCUUGAGGAGAGUUUGUUGGCUCGCUGGAUUUAUGAAGUCGCCCUUGCUUAACACAAGCCCCUCUUUCUUGCAUCAAAAACACUCAUGUUUGCUUUAUUAAACACUGGCUAAUAUUCGAAGGUGCAUAAAUGGCUUCCAUUACAUUUGC
rnacentral:lncRNA from 1 species